rnacentral:rRNA from 1 species
AUUGAACGCUGGCGGCAGGCCUAACACAUGCAAGUCGAGCGGAUGAAGGGAGCUUGCUCCUGGAUUCAGCGGCGGACGGGUGAGUAAUGCCUAGGAAUCUGCCUGGUAGUGGGGGAUAACGUCCGGAAACGGGCGCUAAUACCGCAUACGUCCUGAGGGAGAAAGUGGGGGAUCUUCGGACCUCACGCUAUCAGAUGAGCCUAGGUCGGAUUAGCUAGUUGGUGGGGUAAAGGCCUACCAAGGCGACGAUCCGUAACUGGUCUGAGAGGAUGAUCAGUCACACUGGAACUGAGACACGGUCCAGACUCCUACGGGAGGCAGCGGUGGGGAAUAUUGGACAAAGGGCGGAAGCCUGAUCCAGCCAUGCCGCGUGUGUGAAGAAGGUCUUCGGAUUGUAAAGCACUUUAAGUUGGGAGGAAGGGCAGUAAGUUAAUACCUUGCUGUUUUGACGUUACCAACAGAAUAAGCACCGGCUAACUUCGUG